rnacentral:rRNA from 1 species
UACGUAGGGGGCAAGCGUUGUCCGGAAUCAUUGGGCGUAAAGCGCGUGUAGGCGGCUCGGUAAGUCCGCUCUGAAAGUCCAGGGCUCAACCCUGGGAUGCGGGUGGAUACUGCCGGGCUCGAGUCCGGAAGAGGCGAGUGGAAUUCCCGGUGUAGCGGCGAAAUGCGCAGAUAUCGGGAGGAACACCAAUGGCGAAGGCAGCUCGCUGGGACGGUACUGACGCUGAGACGCGAAAGCGUGGGGAGCGAACAGG